rnacentral:rRNA from 1 species
CCUACGGGAGGCAGCAGUAAGGAAUAUUGGUCAAUGGACGAAAGUCUGAACCAGCCAUGCCGCGUGAAGGAUUAAGGCCCUCUGGGUUGUAAACUUCUUUUAUCUGGGACGAAAAAAGGGUAUUCUUACUCACUUGACGGUACCAGAGGAAUAAGCACCGGCUAACUCCGUGCCAGCAGCCGCGGUAAUACGGAGGGUGCAAGCGUUAUCCGGAUUUACUGGGUUUAAAGGGUGCGUAGGUGGGCUUGUAAGUCAGUGGUGAAAUCUCCGGGCUUAACCCGGAAACUGCCAUUGAUACUAUAGGUCUUGAAUUAUCUGGAGGUAAGCGGAAUAUGUCAUGUAGCGGUGAAAUGCUUAGAUAUGACAUAGAACACCAAUUGCGAAGGCAGCUUACUACGGAUAUAUUGACACUGAGGCACGAAAGCGUGGGGAUCAAACAGGAUUAGAUACCCUGGUAGUCCACGCCCUAAACGAUGGAUACUCGACAUCAGCGAUACACUGUUGGUGUCUGAGCGAAAGCAUUAAGUAUCCCACCUGGGAAGUACGAUCGCAAGAUUGAAACUCAAAGGAAAUUGACGG